rnacentral:rRNA from 1 species
GAUGAACGCUGGCGGCAUGCCUAAUACAUGCAAGUCGAGCGAACAGACGAGGAGCUUGCUCCUCUGACGUUAGCGGCGGACGGGUGAGUAACACGUGAAUAACCAACCUUAAGGACGGGGAUACUUACGGGAACCCGAAUCAAAAACGGGAAAAAAAAUGGAACGUGAGGGUUAAAUGGUGAAAAGGGUUUUGGGGGGAACUAAGAAGGGGAUCCGGGCCGCAUUAGCUAGUUGGUAGGGUAACGGCUUACCAAGGAAACGAUGCGUAGCCGACCUGAGAGGAUGAUCGGCCACACUGGAACUGAGACACGGUCCAGACUCCUACGGGAGGCAGCAGUAGGGAAUCUUCCGCAAUGGGCGAAAGCUUGACGGAGCAACGCCGCGUGAGUGAUGAAGGUCUUCGGAUCGUAAAACUCUGUUAUUUGGGAAGAACAAAUGUGUAAGUAACUAUGCACGUCUUGACGGUACCUAAUCAGAAAGCCACGGCUAACUACGUG